rnacentral:rRNA from 1 species
GACGAACGCUGGCGGCGUGCCUAAUACAUGCAAGUAGAACGCUGAAGGAGGAGCUUGCUUCUCUGGAUGAGUUGCGAACGGGUGAGUAACGCGUAGGUAACCUGCCUGGUAGCGGGGGAUAACUAUUGGGAACGAUAGCUAAUACCGCAUAACAGUAGAUAUUGCAUGAUAUCUGCUUGAAAGGUGCAAAUGCAUCACUACCAGAUGGACCUGCGUUGUAUUAGCUAGUUGGUGAGGUAACGGCUCACCAAGGCAACGAUACAUAGCCGACCUGAGAGGGUGAUCGGCCACACUGGGACUGAGACACGGCCCAGACUCCUACGGGAGGCAGCAGUAGGGAAUCUUCGGCAAUGGACGGAAGUCUGACCGAGCAACGCCGCGUGAGUGAAGAAGGUUUUCGGAUCGUAAAGCUCUGUUGUAAGAGAAGAACGAGUGUGAGAGUGGAAAGUUCACACUGUGACG